UCGGCAUUUGGAAUUCGAGCAGACCGCUACUUGCUAAAUCUCUCGUAUACCUACAACACAGCACUCGAAGAUCACUGGAUUUACACUUACACAACCACUACUGCUUCGCAAACCCGUCGUCCAAGAUGCCAUUGAAAAAGUGUGAAAUUGUCCGAGGAAUGGUUAUCAUCAAGCGUUAAGGACACUGCAUACAAAAUCGGACAAAUAAAUGGACUCGACCGGACCAGAAUCAGGAAAAAAAUCAUGGAUUGUUGAACGCUACCUGUACGACGGAUACCGCGACGAUGAUUCGGCAAAAGAAAUCGCGUCAUUAACACAUAAUCACUAUAAUAAUAAUAGUUAUUAUUAUUAUAGCGACCGAUUUGCUGCAAGUCGGCAGCGUCUUUCCCACUUUAAUAUUAUUAAUAUUAUUAUGUAGCCGCGCACAAUGAGCAAUAAAAAUUAAUACCACCGGUUCAAAUGGCUCUGUUAAAAUGUCCCGUUUACGACGGCGUUAUCAGUGUUUAAACGGUUGUUAUUACGAACCAUUUUGUAUCAUACAUACAUAACAUAAUAUAUUAUUACACAUACAUAUCACCACCGCGUAUAUAAUAGCUAGUAUAAAUGUGUGUUUCUUUACAGCGUACCGUUUAAAAUUAUUACUAUUUUUUUUUUUUAUAUAUUUUUAUUAUUGGUUGUAUACACUUAUUAUUAUUAUUAUAUUUACUACGGGCAUAAAUCCCGCGUACAAUGAUUUCAAUACGACUAAUUUUUAUAUAUUUUUUAUUGUAUUUUAAACGGACAGGUUUAUCGGUUUACUGCGUUUUUAUUUUUA